rnacentral:lncRNA from 1 species
ACUUCAUUGGGAAUCCAAAGCUGAAGAGCAAACAAAGUUGUCAAUACCAUAAAAAAUUAGCUUCUGCAUAUUAUGUUCUUCUCUCUGUUGCUUUUUCUGUUCUCCAAACCAGAUUUUCCUUAGCAUGUCGAAGGAGGUAAUCUACUGUACUAUAUUAUCUAACGUAGUCCACUCCUCGUGCAUUACCUAUAUAAGGUAGCUUCAGCGCUCCCAAAUGCAGCUUCUUUCUGCAUUAAUUCACUCCUGAGCAGCUGUGUCCAGGUUCAGUGCUCAAUGAAAAUGUGAAGCUGCUGGUUGAAAACUUCAGCUCGCUCUGCUCAUCCAAUCUGGCUUUUUUUUUUUUUCCCCUCUACAGCAGGCCAUGCUCAGUCCUUUGAUCAAAGUAACCCUGGACUUUGGUCUGAAUGCAAUUUGAACUUUACAAAUUGGGUCUCCCUCAGCUAACAAAGUGGGCAUUUUACUCCUUUUCCUGCUUGCAGCAACAAAUUCCAUGCUUCUGUACACAGCUGGUAGCAUUUUAGGCAAUCCCUAUGUAAUCUAUUAUAAUUUUUUUCUUCCUUCCACAGUGUGUGGGUCUUCCAAAUGGUGAAAAUCAACCAUUGCCUGACUAUAAUUCUCUUCAAAUACAGGUUUCAGCAGAGCUCCCUAUGGGAGCAAUCCAGGUGCCUGAACACAGAUGUGUCGUGUCAUUGGGGAUGAUUUAGGCUAGCUGAGAUGCCCACACAGGGCUAUAGGAACUAUGGAAGACACACGCCUUUCCAGAAGGGCAGCCAGAGCCAAGGCAGCUGUGAUAGUCUCUAACAUCUCAACUAAUUUCAAACACCUGAAUCAUUCCUUCACCACCUCCAGGAGAUUCCACACCAUUAAAGGGGCAGAUUGCUUCUGUGCUUGUUAGCUGAAUGCACUACACAAGUUUGCCCCAUACAUUAUCAAGUGUCAAUAAUGGAUUAUUUCAUGAUAGUAUAGAAACCAGCACUUCAGUUCUGCACUGGGAUUCCCACCCUUGCAAGGGCAAACAUCAGUAUGUUUGUACUAUAAGCCUAAUGUUUACAGGGAUAGCUCAACAACAGCAACGAACACAAUGG